rnacentral:rRNA from 1 species
CAAUAGCGUAUAUUUAAGUUGUUGCAGUUAAAAAGCUCGUAGUUGAAUUUCUGGUGGGAGCGAUCGGUCUGGCGCUUAGCGCGAGUACUUGCAUCGUCUCCGGCCAUCCUUGGGGAGAGUCUGUCUGGCAUUAGGUUGUCGGGCAGAGGAUCCUCAUCGUUUACUGUGAAAAAAUUAGAGUGUUCAAAGCAGGCUUAUGCCGUUGAAUAUAUUAGCAUGGAAUAAUAAGAUAGGACUUUGGUACUAUUUUGUUGGUUUGCGCACCAAAGUAAUGAUUAAUAGGGACAGUUGGGGGUAUUCGUAUUCCGUUGUCAGAGGUGAAAUUCUUGGAUUUACGGAAGACGAACUACUGCGAAAGCAUUUACCAAGGAUGUUUUCAUUAA